UACCCGCAGCUCAAGUGGUGGUCAUUAUUAUUGGGCCUAAAGCGUCCGUAGCUGGCUUGUUAGAUGCCUGGGUAAAUCGAUGCGCUCAACGUAUCGAAUUCCGGGUAGACCGGCAAGCUCGAGACCGGGAGAGGCGUGAGCUACUCAAGGGGUAGGGGUAAAAUCCUGUAAUCCUUUGGGGAGGACCAGUGGCGAAGGCGUCACGCUAGAACGGCUCUGACAGUGAGGGACGAAGCCCUGGGGCGCAAACGGG
rnacentral:rRNA from 1 species